UGUUGAUUUUUCCUGUUUAGUAAUAUUAGUCAUGAUUUUUCUAGGGAUGUACUUCAAAGCAUGACCCAUUUCUGAAAGACAAAGCCAUCUGGACAGCUUAUCGCAACUCAGAUUAUGGUUACUCACGCAUGACCAUCCACAGUAAGACACACAUAUCCAUAGAGCAAGUCAGUGUUGAUAAAGCAGGGGAAGUAGUCGACAAAAUGACAUUGGUUAAAGAUAUCCAUGGACCAGAAGCUUGGACCACAAAGAAAGUGAAAAAUCGAAAGUGAAUUUAAAAUUUCUUAAAUAAUUUAUACAAGUAUUGAAGGUUUUCUUUUACUCGCCACAUGUAUGUACAGUUUUGUAGAACUGCCGAACAAGGCUGUCAAAGUUGUAAAUUCAUGCAUGCGAGGUAUGAAUUGUCGUUGAAGACUGUGUGAUUAUAAAUCAACCAGUUGGUAUGUUUUGUUUAGUGUAUUGUUGUGACAACUACUCAGUGAGAAAGUUGUUUGAUUUGCCUUGUGGUCUUCUAAAACUGACACACGUAUAGGUAGACAUAGUCAACGAGUUAGCCACUAUGACCUUUUCUUUUUUGUAUUUAAAUCUGAAAAUUUACCCUGCCAGGUUAUCCUUGAUCGUCAAAAGUUGUUGAUACUGCGGACCUUGCAUUCAUAUGGGGUAAGAUCAAAACUUUUGAACGAAAAAAUAGGCAUUUAGAUUGUUGGUAAAAGCUUGUACUACACGAAAUUAAGGGGGCUGUGCGAAUCACCUUUAUCAUGGAAGUUUGUUAUAAGUGCAUUUUGGGAUAUCAUAUAAAAGAUAACAUUUUGUGAUAAGUAAAAAUGGACGAGAAGGAAUGGGUGCGAUUUUGCUUGGUUGUCAGACAUACGAAUUUAGAAAAAAAAAUUAAAGGCAGUAAUUUUCAAAUUGUAUUGGAUAUAAUCAUUUUUUUUUCAAGCAGUAUUUGUCUUUCUUUCAGAUGAUUUCAGUACAGUUUUGUUGAUUAUUUGCUUAAUGUUAGAGUUCACAUAGCUCUAGCAAUCUACAAACAAUGUUUUUUUAAUAAUAAUAAUAAUAAUAAUAAUAAUAAUAAUAAUAAUAAUAAUAAUAAUAAUAACAACAACAACAACAACAAACUUUAUUGAGUACUUUUUUAUAUAAACGUUAAGCUUACAUUUGUCUGGUAAAAAAUUCAGAAAUUGUUGUUCCUUAAGUUUUUUCCCUGUAAAAAUUGCAAUAGCCUACCUACAUAAUUACAUUCUGUAAGCAUUGAUGAUUUAUUCAUGAGUUUGAGAGUGUUUUUUUUUUUU